GCGAGGGAAGAGCCACCCGGGCACAGGAGGCGUCUCUCUCUCUGUCUGUCUGUCCCUCUCUCUGUCUGUCUCUGUCUGUCCCUCUCUCUGUCUGUCUGUCUCGGCUGGGGGAGCGCUCGUCCGGGGGGUCGGCGGGACACGGCGGACGCCACCCGAAGGCGCCCGGGUCGCAGGCGGCUCCGCACUCCUCGCAUCCCGUCGGGCGCGCGGCGGAUGAUCGGUGGUGGAGCUGCUAUGAGGUGCGCUGGCAGACAUGAGUGAUGUGGACGGGGAGUUUGCCGACUUCGUGGCUUCGGGACGCUCGGGCAGGAGGAACGCUCUUGUCAACAUCGUGGGCUCCCCCGCGGGGCUCUCCACGGCCGACCUCCCCCUCAAACUCGCCGACCUCUCCGUCACAGCCGAAGGAGAAGGCGCGACAACAGUGUCGGAGAAGCCGACAGAACAAAAGGAGGCUGAAAAGUGAAUGGAGCGGUGCGCGAGUGACGCGCAUUAAAAUACUCUUUGUUUGGCACCACAAAGCUUAAUCUGGCUUUCGCAUCAAAGCCACAAAAAGCCCCUCGGGCUAAAACCAGAGACAUGGGACGAUGCUACAGAUGGCUUGGAGGCAUCCCACUGGAGUUCAAAAUGUGGGAUUCAUCGAGCACUCACGAUAUGAGACAUCAAAGCUGACCAACAUGAGAUCAAGACACAGGAGCCACGCGAUACAAUCUCCAAAUCCCACGGCCAAAUGAACAGCGGUUCAAGAUUUCAGGAGCGACCGAUUUUGGCAUCGUAAUGGGUGGGCCAGGCAAUGAUAAUUUGGGAUGCAAAUGUAUACCAAGAAGAUUUAAGCAUGAGCUUGCCAAGACCCUGUCGCUGUUAUUACAGCCAAGAUGUCGUCUGGCAGCACGGCAUCCAAUAACGGGAAGAUUCUGUUUGCAGAUAUUAGAAGAAAAACACCCCCAGCGGUAUCUACAAUUGUCAGUGCUUGUCUGUUAAUGGCAGCUGAUGUUCAUAUCUGUAUCUAAGGAACACGCAUACACUGCACAUCAAUAAUGCAAUGUUAUUCUUCUUUGGAAAUGCAUCAGAAUCUAACCUUAGCCCUGCAAUGCCUGCAAUAUUUAUUGCACUAUCACUUGUUUUCUACGGUCGCGUAUUGACCCACAACCAGAAACGCUUUCCGCAAGUCUUAGUUCUCCCUGACCUCCUUGUCUUUGGUUUGACAAAACAAAUGGCCGGGUUGAAGAGCCAUCGAGUGUUGCCGCCCUCUGUCCCAAGAAGCCGCCUUAUCCCUGCGAGCGGAGAAGGGCAAUGGAUGUCGUAACCAGUGCUCUGGUUUUCAGCGGGUCGCCCUCUGCGCGUGAUGGAUGAUCCGCGAGUCUGCGGAAGAAACGGUACGGAGGGGGGCGGGGAGGUAAUGACAAAGGCAAAUAAAGGUGCAGCCCCUGCAAUUGCUCGCUCACGCCACUGCUGGCGGAAGGGUCUCCGCUCGAGGUUGUUCUAUAGAGCCCCUCUACAGGUAUUGUGGCCGACUCUCUCCACGCUGGUGAGACACCUUGGGAGCGACUGGAGUAGACACACUUCAUCACCAUCACAUAGGGGCCUGGCGAUCGAAUGUUGCGUACCCGUUUAUACUGCUGGUGCACAAAGGCCCCGGGUUUAAUCGUUUCAAUUUCUGCCACACGUAGAUGGAAUCGAACCCGAGACCGCUGAAUUGCAUGUCCAGUGUGCUCAACAUUACUCUAAAGCAGCUCACUAUGUUGUUGACAUGAUGAGACUAUUGUAGUGGAAACACACUCAUUGUGAAUGUCAUUAUCCUGUCUAAACUCAGACAUUUCUGUUUGGUAAUAUAUUUUGGGCUCCUGUCAACCAAAUUAUUAGCAGUUGCGUGGUAAUCUUUCUCAAUAAAAUGAUACAUUCUUGUGUUAGUUUUGCUAAUUACAUAUAUACUAAUGUACAAAAAAUAUGGUUGGCAUAAUGUUUAUUUUAAAACUGUUUUCGGUAAUCAACUUGAUGUCAUUGACAAUUCUAUUUUGUAUACUAAAUCUUGGCCUGUGCUGACAUGCAUGCUGAUCUGUCAUUUCUCACACAACGCAUUCAACAUUUUAAUUUUAAAACACCGGCGCAGUGUUGUGUCUUGGGUGUGCGUGGAGGAAGUUGCCGUGGCCAAUCGUCAACCGCGCCCCACUGUGUCUCGCCUUCUGACCGUGAUCUUCACCGAGACCACGGCGGUGGUUGUCAAUAAAUCAAAUUGUCAAAGA